UCUUGACUAACUAUUGGUCUAAGUUGACAUUUAUUUAACCCAUAUUUAUUAUCCAAUUACUCGCUUCGUUUUUACAAGUACUGACAUCUCUUAAUCCUGCCUAUACCAUUUAUCCUGUGUAUUAUUCACUCAUUUAAAAUUAAGAUUAUUCUAAUCAUCUCAAAUCGGGCGAUCUCAUCUGGUUUGUGAGUCGGACUAGUUCAACUUCAUAGACCACUAAGCUCUAAACAUGAUCUCAAAUAAAGUCACCAUUUACUACCCUGAGAUAAAAUUGCUGGUGACUUCAUUCGUAGGUAUCAUCAAUGACAAUAUCUAUAAAUGGAAAUACGCUAUAUACCUUGCGUUGCCUAAAUAGCUGAGUACAACCUGUUGGACGACUUCUCUUGCAGUAGUCCGUAAACUUGGAAUUGACUCCAGCUCCUUUAACUUUGCAGCUCCAUUGCAUUGUCUGUUCGGAACCAGCACAGUGUCCUUCACAUCUCUCUACUAGACAACCUAAACUUAGAAAGCUUUGACCUCCUACUAUGCAACUCCAUGAAACUCCGUAGUUGUUGUCACAAACCAACUUGCUUGACUAUCAUCGACAUAUUUGUAUUGAACAUUGUACAGAUGUGCUAUCAACACACCACAAGAAGCAAGAGACACGGUUUGUCUCUUAUUCGCCCCUUGUACAUUGCAAAAGCUAAUGUCCAAAUCCUUAAUCGAUAUACCUGGUUGAAGGAUUGAUAUUUUCAGGUCCUUCAUAAACACUGUC